UAGACUUGGCGUAAUCUCUUG
rnacentral:piRNA from 1 species